rnacentral:rRNA from 1 species
CUCGUAGGCGGUUCGUCGCGUCCGGUGUGAAAGUCCAUCGCCUAACGGUGGAUCUGCGCCGGGUACGGGCGGGCUGGAGUGCGGUAGGGGAGACUGGAAUUCCCGGUGUAACGGUGGAAUGUGUAGGUAUCGGGAAGAACACCAAUGGCGAAGGCAGGUCUCUGGGCCGUUACUGACGCUGAGGAGCGAAAGCGUGGGGAGCGAACA